CACCCGUAUCCUUCAGAAGAACAGAAGAAGCAGCUCGCUCAAGACACGGGCCUCACCAUCUUACAAGUAAACAACUGGUUCAUUAAUGCCAGAAGAAGAAUAGUGCAGCCCAUGAUUGACCAGUCAAAUCGAGCAGGUUUUCUUCUUGAUCCUUCAGUGAGCCAGGGAGCGGCGUACAGUCCGGAGGGGCAGCCCAUGGGCAGCUUCGUGCUGGACGGACAGCAACACAUGGGCAUCCGGCCGGCAGGUCCUAUGAGUGGCAUGGGCAUGAAUAUGGGCAUGGAUGGCCAGUGGCACUACAUGUAACGGCUGUACAGUAAAGAAAAGGGGGAAGUGAAUCGAGGCGUGCCGGGGGAGUUCGUACCUCAGCGUGGUCCUGUGGGCAUCACCUCCUCCACCAAAAGCCCCUCGUCUCUUGUGUUUGUCACACCGAUCUCCUCGUCACCCUGCGACCCGUGUGGCCAUGCUAACGCACAGACCCCCUCCUCGACCACGACUCCUCUGACCCCCUGACCACAGCGCUGCUGGACCGGCCGAUGAUCGAAGGAACCAACCAAUACUGGACAAUAACCCCACGAAAGAUUUGUGAAGGAAAAGAGAAUGCGCUGACGCAUCCGACAGCAGAAUUAGAAGCCUCUCGUGGAAUUCCAGACGAGCUGUGAUCGUUUUUUAUCUUGUGAAAUUUUGUUACUUUUGUUGCUGGAGGACCAAGAGCUGACAAAAAACACUUUGUAAAAUUGUGGGUGUCUGUUCAAAUCAACAGAGGAUGUUUCAGCUUAUUAAACACACGCGCACACACACACACACACAUGAUAAUGAAAAAAAAAAAAGACAAGAGACUCCAAGAGUUCAAACUACUGUAGUAUAAAAGCAUAGAAACUAAAUUAAAUCUUGUACAUUUCUAUCAUCACUCACUUUAUGUUUCAUGAGCUAGUCUUAGAGUAAAUCGUUGGCCUGUUUUUCACACUGUGUGUGCGGAUCCCCGAGGCAGAGGAGCUCGAGCGCGGCAGUAACGGGAGAAACGGACCACGGUUCCGGUAUAACGAUGAUUCCUCGUGCAUCAGAGUUUCCGCCGACUGAAGCCCGCUCUCUUCACCAAACUCCUCCUCCUCCUCUUCUUUUCCUCAUGCAUUUUCCUUUUUCGGUCCAUGAAUGAAUGUUGCCCUGUAGUUCUUCGUUUGAAUUGCCCAAGCACUGGAUUGUGUUGCUUUUAUACGUUUUUAUUUUAAUAUUAUUAUUAAUAUUAUUAUGAUUAAUUUUGUAUCUCGGACUCUCAGAGUAAGAGCCUUAUGAAGGACGUGUAUCCAUCCUGCAGCAGUGGGAUCAAUGUAUUACCUGCCACGAGGACGAUGCUCUGGAUGCUCUGGAUUCUGUGGCACACACAGCAGAGACGCGUGAACAACUUUAAAAGGAUGAAAAAAAAAAACAAGAACUUAAAUUAUGAACUCAAAGCUCGGUGAGAAGCUGAGACAACAUUGUAAGAAACUUCGUACAGAGUUCAGUCUAUGAAUUGUUUCAUGUUAGAUAUUCUAUGUGUUUACCUCAACUGAAGACGAAUGUUUUUGCUAGUUUGAGAUCUGCUGUGGCAUUGAUAUUGUUCUGUCCUUCCUUUCUCAGCACGUGCUCCACUAGAAGAUGAAAUACUCUCCCUCGAGCUUUGUCAGAAAUACAUUCAAUACUUGUAUGAGGACUGUGGCGUGAUGUGUCGAAGGUGUUCAGUCACAAAUGCUGUAAUAAAUAUUUCAUUUUUGA